CAGGCCUAACACAUGCAAGUCGAACGAGGUUUGGUCAGUUUGCGGUGGUGCUUGCAUCACCAAUUACAGAUCAAACCGAGUGGCGGACGGGUGAGUAACACGUGGGUAACCUGCCCUUCAGCAGGGGAUAACAUUUGGAAACAGAUGCUAAUACCGUAUAACCACGGAGACCGCAUGGUCUCCGGGUAAAAGAUGGCGCAAGCUAUCACUGAAGGAUGGACCCGCGGCGUAUUAGCCAGUUGGUGGGGUAAAGGCCUACCAAGGCGACGAUCCGUAGCUGGUCUGAGAGGAUGAUCAGCCACACUGGGACUGAGACACGGCCCAGACUCCUACGGGAGGCAGCAGUGGGGAAUAUUGGACAAUGGGCGCAAGCCUGAUCCAGCAAUGCCGCGUGAGUGAUGAAGGCCUUAGGGUUGUAAAGCUCUUUUACCCGGGAUGAUAAUGACAGUACCGGGAGAAUAAGCCCCGGCUAACUCCGUGCCAGCAGCCGCGGUAAU
rnacentral:rRNA from 1 species